rnacentral:rRNA from 1 species
AGUGAACGCUGGCGACGUGCUUAACACACGCAAGUCGGACGAGAAAGCCCUUCGGGGUGAGUAGAGUGGCGCACGGGUGAGUAAUACAUAGGAACGUACCUAUAGGUGGGGAAUAACUUCGGGAAACUGAAGCUAAUACCGCAUGUGAUAGUAAUAUCAAAGGAGGCCUCUCUACGAUGCUUUCGCCUAUAGAGCGGCCUAUGUCCCAUUAGCUUGUUGGUAGGGUAAAGGCCUACCAAGGCGACGAUGGGUAGCUGGUCUGAGAGGAUGAUCAGCCACACUGGGACUGAGACACGGCCCAG